rnacentral:rRNA from 1 species
GCGUAGGAAUCUACCCAGUAGCGGGGGACAACAUGUGGAAACGCAUGCUAAUACCGCAUACGCCCUACGGGGGAAAGGGGGCGAGCUUGCUGCUCUCACUAUUGGAUGAGCCUGCGUAAGAUUAGCUAGUUGGUGGGGUAAAGGCCCACCAAGGCGACGAUCUUUAGCUGGUCUGAGAGGAUGAUCAGCCACACUGGAACUGAGACACGGUCCAGACUCCUACGGGAGGCAGCAGUGGGGAAUAUUGCGCAAUGGGGGAAACCCUGACGCAGCCAUGCCGCGUGUGUGAAGAAGGCUCUA